AUCUAUAGCCAUGCCACCCUGAACGAGCCCGAUCCCAUCUGAUCUCGGAAGCUAAGCAGGGUCGGGCCUGGUUAGUACUUGGAUGGGAGACCACCUAGGAAGACCGGGUGCUGUAGGCG
rnacentral:rRNA from 1 species